AUGAGUCAGCUGGAGGCUGGGUGGGGAGAGGGUGCCUUCUUUCAAUUAGAAAUGCCAGACCCAGUAGUUG
rnacentral:miRNA from 1 species